CGGGGCGUGGCGCAGCCCGGUAGCGCACCUGCUUUGGGAGCAGGGGGUCGGAGGUUCGAAUCCUCUCGCCCCG
rnacentral:tRNA from 1 species